AGUGAACGCUGGCGGUAGGCCUAACACAUGCAAGUCGAACGGCAGCACAGUAAGAGCUUGCUCUUACGGGUGGCGAGUGGCGGACGGGUGAGGAAUACAUCGGAAUCUACUUUUUCGUGGGGGAUAACGUAGGGAAACUUACGCUAAUACCGCAUACGACCUACGGGUGAAAGUAGGGGAUCUUCGGACCUUGCGCGAUUGAAUGAGCCGAUGUCGGAUUAGCUAGUUGGCGGGGUAAAGGCCCACCAAGGCGACGAUCCGUAGCUGGUCUGAGAGGAUGAUCAGCCACACUGGAACUGAGACACGGUCCAGACUCCUACGGGAGGCAGCAGUGGGGAAUAUUGGACAAUGGGCGCAAGCCUGAUCCAGCCAUACCGCGUGGGUGAAGAAGGCCUUCGGGUUGUAAAGCCCUUUUGUUGGGAAAGAAAAGCAGCAGGUUAAUACCCCGCUGUUCUGACGGUACCCAAAGAAUAAGCACCGGCUAACUACGUG
rnacentral:rRNA from 1 species